GAGAGAAGACAAAGACCUGCUGUUUACGAUGUUGCCCCCAGAGGCUACAGCUGGUUUUACACUUUACACGUACACGUCCACGACAAACAUGCAUGGACCCGGGCAGUCGGGUCUCCAGCUGUCUGCAACCAAGUAAUCCAAAUUUAAGUGAGCAGACCUAGCUGCUGAGUUUUGCUGAGAUACAAUAAGGUGCAGCCCAGUUUGAGCUUCAAGUCCAUUAAAAGGUACGGCUAGACAGACAGACAAUAGUGACGCCUUCACACGUAAAGGAUGAGAUCAGCAGUCGAUAUGUAUCCAUUCAGAUGCCAUGGGAACUCUCUCUCCUCCCUCUCUUCCUUAUCACUCUUUCUUUCCUCUUCUCCUGCUCUGGUCUGCCUCACAGCUUCCUGUGUCACCCCUCCCCCCACCUCGUUAAAAGGAGAGCGAGAGAGAGAGAGACCUGUUCAUUCAUGCAUUCAGUCAGUCAGCUGAGCAAAGAGUGAGGGAGGAGAGGAAGAGAGAGAGAGAAAAUGAGAGCGGGAUAGAGGAGGAGAGGCGAGGAAGGCUUCCUCCCUGCGAUGAAUAGGUCACCUGUAUUACAUCACUGAUGGGGGAUGGAGCAGUGGAAAAGAAAAAAGCUAAAGUAUGAGUCACAGACAGACUAGUUCCCUUGAUGCACUGCGGAAACGUAAUGUGACGUAGCCUCCACCUCUCCCUAUCUCGCCACACACAUCCCUCCAUCGCUCUCAUUCAUUCGUCCGCCGCUCCCUCCCAUUCAUCCAUCCUACUGUCUGAGCACAGCAAGCCUCCAUUCACAAAAAGCCCUGCAAGCCGAGGAAGAGACGGCAGGUGGACUUACGACGCCAGGACACACAAACCGUCACGCAGUACGAUGACAUACAUUUCAUUAAAACACUGUAACAGUAACAGAUUAAAAAAGAUUUGUUGAAUAGUAUAGAUUCAUAUCACGUGAUUCAGGGCAUCUGUUUGAAAUUCAUCGCCACAAAGAGCAGGCGAGAAAAAAAAAAGUCUUGCCAGAUGUAAUGACUGUUUUUACCUCAGAUGUGAGCUCGUUUCACAAUUACUUUUUAGUGCAUGUUGUGGAAGAUUUACUGUUGCCAUGGUUACAGCAUGUGCUGUCAAAUAUGAGUGAGACUGCCAAGA